rnacentral:lncRNA from 1 species
AUAGGACCUUGCCCAUCAAUGUUCAGUGUUCCUUGUUGGCUAACGUUCACCAGGGUGCAAAUGUUGGUUGAUAUAUAAUGUUUAUCAUAUGAAUGACAGCUUCCACCAAUGACCAAUAUCCACAAAGGGAAAAUGUCUGUUGGAGGCAGUGUCUGCUGUAUAUCAGUGCCCAGUGUUCACUGGUAGCUAAUUGCAAUUAUACUUGCUCUGUGCAUCAAUACCCAAUGUCAGUCCAUAGCUCGGCUUCUAACGACAGCAAAUGUCUAUCCAGUUAAGUCACAUGCCCUGUGUUUAUUCUUCUCUUUAUUUAUUUAAGUACUAGUGGUUCUGUCUACAGGGAUUAUUGUGUUUGUUGAGCUUGGAGGGAAAUUCCCCCUGUGUUUAUUCUUUAGUUCCCAAACCUAUUUAUUAUUUUCUUUUGCAUAUCCAUUAGAUAGUCAAAGUGUUCUGAACUGGAGGUACAAACACAUUCAUGUUUCUUUUUGUCUCCCUUCCCUCCCUCCCUCCCUCCCUCCCUUUCUUUCUUUCUUUCUAUCUCUCUCUCUCUCUCUUUCUCUCUCUCUCUCUCUCUUUCUUUUUUCAGGGUCUUAUUCUGUCACCCAGGCUGGAGUGCAGUGGCGUGAUCAUAGCUCACUGUAGCCAAUCUCCCAUGCACAAGCAAGCCUCUUGCCUCAGCCUCCUGAGUAGCUGGGACUACAGGCAUACGUCACCAUGCUCAGCUAAUUUUUUAAUUUUUAGUAGAAAAGGUCUGGUCUUGAACUCCUGAGCUCAAGAAAUCCUCCCACCUCAGCCUCCCAAAGCGUUGAGAUUACAUGUGCAAGCCACUGUGCCCUGCCAUGUUUCUUAAUAUAUGCACAUAUGUAUAUGUAACACAUAAAUAAUUACAUACAUAAUACAGGAAGACACAGAAAUAAUUACAUACAUGAUACAGGAAGACACAGAAAAAGAGAAACUGGUCUGAUACCAGAAGUAUCAACUCAGGAACAAUUUUCUACUAGCUGAGCCUCAGAAGCAGCAACUUUUCCAAAGUGAAGUGAUGAAUGGAGGCGCCAGCCCUCCUCCUCAGGUUAAGAAAGGCAAAGAGCCCUGCUUUUGGCUGUAAAAAGCCAGGUUCCCUAAUCAGGUGAAGGCCUGAGGCAGGGACUCCUUAGGGCAGUGUAACUAGUAGCCAAGGCACAGGCUCCAAAGGGAGGUUGCCUGGGCUCAAGCCCGGCUCUGCCACUCACAGCUGGGUGUCCCGGGGUGAGCCUCUCAGCCCCUCGUUCAGCCUCAGUUCCACAUGUGUAAAUGGAGGUCUAGUAGCUACCUCACAGGGCAGUUGUUGAAAAUAAGCUAAUGCUCCUAAAACCCUGAGAACAGUGCUCUGUGUAUGAUAAGUGUUCAUAGACGUCACAUUAUUUAUUUAUUUUGAAAAUUCUUCUUUUAGUCAAACUUAUAAGUUUUCUGUGGCUCAAAAUAUUCUCAACCAGGGUUUCUUUAGUGGCCAUCAGCUCCCAGGGGGUGAUAUCAUGGAAGCUGUUAUGCUUAGGAAUUUGUUUAAAAAGACGUCCUGCCCUGUGCCCCAGUACAUUUCAACACCACCCAGCCACACAGCCGCCUUCUGGCCCAACACUCUUAAAGACACAGUGCUUGGGAAAUGUCCUCAUGCCCCUUUCCUGAGGCAGGUUUGCCACUGUUUCCCCAGGCCUGGCAGUCACAGAUGGCAGUCACUGACCUGCUGUGAUUUGAGAGAUGGAGAGAAAACCUUCCACUCUUCUUAUUCUCCCUAAUAGCCUCAGUCUCUGCCUUCAGUUCCACAUUUCCCUUUGGCGUAAGCUAUGAUUGUCGUCCAAGGCCCCUCCUAGAUAGGCAAGGACUCAUGAUACCAAGAGUGUGAUCAGGGGAUAGAGAUGAGAUGUCUGGGUUGGAUGCGGGAGUGGGGUAUUUUCUAACUAAUGGGGUGCAAGGGGUACCUGAGCAUGCUCUCAAAAUGUGUUAUACCCUAAAAAAUGUUUUUAAGGUAGUGUGUUGAUAUAACAGUUGUUAAGACCAUGAUGCUAGAGGCAAGAUCGUGAGAUCCAUAGAGAAGGUAGUUGAAGGGUAGGGCCUUUUAUUCACAUAUAUGCUGCCUUCUCCACCAACUGAUGUGAUAUCCUUUUAUAUUCGUGACUCCAGUGAACCCACGCCUCUGAGGAUUUACACCCUUGUAUUUGUACUCCUCUUGAGUCUGGGCUGGCCUGUGACUUUAAUCAGUGCAAUGCAGAAGUGGUUCAGUGCCAGUUCUAAGACUACAAAGAGAAAGAAAAGUUCAACCUUCCAAUAUCCCAGCAGACAUCAGGCCCCAGCUGUGUCACCAGCUUCACGCCCACGAGUGACCACAACAAACCCAGCAGAACCAACCAGCGCAUCCCAGCCCUGGUUGCAGAAUCAUGAGUAAAUAAAAUGGUUGCUGUUCU